UCUCCCAGAUUCUCUUCAGUGGCAUUCACUUCCUGGCAAAGAAAUCAGCCACUUCUCCAUAUCCAGGUCAUAAAAUUACCAGGAAGGAAUCUGAUUGCCCAGCCUGCGUGCAUACUCAUCCCCUCUGCCAAAUCACCUCACCAGAGAGAGAAAAAGAAAAUGAGAAAGCAAGCCACCAGUGCCAUCUCCCAUCAUUUCCCCCCAUGGCAUUCUGCAAUCCGGAUGCACAGACACAGGAAAUGCCAACCAAGAAUAAACCAAGACCUGCAGAUGGAGAUCAAUCGAUCAAUAAAGGAGGC